UUGGGAUGUAUGUUGUUCAGUUUUGAAUUCCAGAAGCUUUUCAUAAGAUUCUUUCCAUAUGAUGAAACAAUCAUCUAAGUAUCUUUUCCAGUUUUCCAUUAAGUAGAUGUGGAAAAGGUGUCCAAAUUUCUGACGUUAGGUUUCAUA